AGAGUUUGAUCAUGGCUCAGAACGAACGCUGGCGGCAUGCCUAACACAUGCAAGUCGAACGAGACCUUCGGGUCUAGUGGCGCACGGGUGCGUAACGCGUGGGAAUCUGCCCUCAGGUACGGAAUAACUCAGGGAAACUUGAGCUAAUACCGUAUAAUGACUUCGGUCCAAAGAUUUAUCGCCUGAGGAUGAGCCCGCGUCGGAUUAGCUAGUUGAUGGGGUAAAAGCUCACCAAGGCGACGAUCCGUAGCUGGUCUGAGAGGAUGAUCAGCCACACUGGGACUGAGACACGGCCCAGACUCCUACGGGAGGCAGCAGUGGGGAAUAUUGGACAAUGGGCGAAAGCCUGUUCCAGCAAUGCCGCGUGAGUGAUGAAGGCCUUAGGGUUGUAAAGCUCUUUUACCCGGGAUGAUAAUGACAGUACCGGGAGAAUAAGCCCCGGCUAACUCCGUGCCAGCCGCCGCGGUAAUAC
rnacentral:rRNA from 1 species